CAGCAGUGGGGAAUAUUGCACAAUCGGGGGAAACCCUGAUGCAGCCAUGCCGCGUGUGUGAAGAAGGCCUUCGGGUUGUAAAGCACUUUCAGUAGGGAGGAAGGUAGUGUAGUUAACACCUGCAUUAUUUGACGUUACCUACAGAAGAAGCACCGGCUAACUCCGUGCCAGCAGCCGCGGUAAUACGGAGGGUGCGAGCGUUAAUCGGAAUUACUGGGCGUAAAGCGCAUGCAGGCGGCCUGUUAAGUCAGAUGUGAAAGCCCGGGGCUUAACCUCGGAAUUGCAUUUGAAACUGGCAGGCUAGAGUCUUGUAGAGGGGGGUAGGAAUUUCAGGUGUAGCGGUGAAAUGCGUAGAGAUCUGAAGGAAUACCAGUGGCGAAGGCGGCCCCCUGGACAAAGACUGACGCUCAGAUGCGAAAGCGUGGGGAGCAAACAGGAUUAGAUACCCUGGUAG
rnacentral:rRNA from 1 species